CAGAGAGAGUCUCUGUGCUCUAUUUCACGAUCACAUCGCUUUCCUUCACAGUUACCGUUCUCCUUCGAGUAUAGCCGUCGCCACUCCAACGCCAUUGCCACCGUGGCUGUUGUAAAUUGAACUGAAGGAGGCAAGGAGCUCUAAGUAGCCUAACUACCCUGUCCACAUCUGUAGCAGAUUGUGAUUACAUAUCUGUAGCAGAUUUUGCAUACAAUAACUUAAUGACAAUUACUAGUGUGUGCCAAAGCUUCUUUAAUGGAGCGCUUGAUCGAUGUUACCGUCUUUCCCCUUGUUUGGCCGAC
rnacentral:misc_RNA from 1 species